rnacentral:rRNA from 1 species
UACAGAGGUGGCAAGCGUUGUUCGGAAUUACUGGGCGUAAAGGGCGCGUAGGUGGCCUUCUUAGUCAGACGUGAAAUCCCCAGGCUUAACCUGGGAACUGCGUCUGAUACUGGAAGGCUUGAGUUCGGGAGAGGAAUGUGGAAUUCCAGGUGUAGCGGUGAAAUGCGUAGAUAUCUGGAGGAACACCGGUGGCGAAGGCGGCAUUCUGGACGAUGACUGACGCUGAGACGCGGAAAGCGUGGGGAGCAAACAGG